rnacentral:rRNA from 1 species
UAAUGGCUCUUUCAUGAUUAUAUGAUAGGUGGUGCAUGGCCGUUCUUAGUUCGUGGAGUGAUCUGUCUGCUUAAUUGCGUUUCAAAUUUUUAUUUGAGGACCAGGUUUUGGUUUGGGUAGUGGUCCUACGAUGACUGUGAACUGUCAUGUCUUCGGAUGUGCGACUAUCGGUCUAGGAUCGCAUCUCAGCCCCUGGGACUCUUUUGAACGCAACGGACGUGAUUGCAACCCCUUGUUGAGAUUAGAGGA